GGACUACCGGGGUAUCUAAUCCCGUUCGCUCCCCUAGCUUUCGCGCCUCAGCGUCAGAAGAGGUCCAGCACGUCGCUUUCGCCACCGGCGUUCCUUCCGAUAUCAACGCAUUUCACCGCUCCACCGGAAGUUCCACAUGCCCCUACCUCCCUCCAGACCAUCAGUAUCAAAGGCAGUUUUCCGGUUGAGCCGAAAGAUUUCACCUCUGACUUGAUGGCCCGCCUACGCGCCCUUUAAGCCCAGUGAUUCCGAACAACGUUUGCACGGUUCGUCUUACCGCGGCUGCUGGCAC
rnacentral:rRNA from 1 species